AUGAUGUACAAGUCUUUUAAGCACCAGAAAACUUCACUUUCCACUUAUACCCUUUCUCCUAAACUAAACACACAAACUAGGGUUUCUCUCCUCUCUCAUUUGGUCCGCCGCUCAUCCUCUCAUCCUCUGCUCUCUCUCUCUCUAUGGCGAUUGUGACUUCAUCAGGCCUCUCUCUCUCGGAUCUCGCCAGAUCUGUGAGGAUUUCACCACAUCGAUGAAGGCUUCUACGGAGGCAUGUACAUAAAAGAAAAGAUGGAAAUCACUUGGAAAGGGAAGUUUGAUCAAGUUUAUAUAUCUAAUAGAAAGAGGGUUGAACCCAAAAGAAAUUUGGGGUUAUAAAGUUUGUGAACCCAAAAGAUUACAAGAAACCAAACUUGUUGGAGCGAGAAGUCAAGAUUUUUCUCUUAACGAUGUCAGCAAAGGUGCACCCUGGAUACAGGUUCUUGGCUAUUAUCAAUCGAAAAACCGGCCUCGAGAAUCACGUUCUAGAGCGUUGAAGCUCGAUUUAGAAUCCGUUAGAUGGCAUGUCGUCGUGUCGUUCUGUUUGCUUAAACAGGUUACACAUGUCAACCCAAACACGGCCCGUUUAUUAAACGAGUUAGAUAUGAGAACCCAAACCUAAUUAUUUCCGUCUCAUGUGUCGGGUCAUGUUAGAAAUUCUCACCCCUACUGAAUUCAUUGUAGCCGGAAGCAACUAAAAGGCACGGAAAAUAUAUUGGCAAGUGCAUGAAGCUGCUGCAAACAAUCUUGACUGUUGAUGAUCUCAACUACCCGGAGAAGACCAUCACAUACUAUACAGUUAACGUUCCAUACGUACUUUCUGCUUGUUGGAAGGUUGUGAAACCACUGUUGCCGGAGCGAACAAGCCGCAGUGUUUUUCUAACGAGGAGUUCGUGAUUCGCAGCUGAUCCGAUUAUCCGGUUACACAAAAGAGGUUACAUUUAUUCAGUGCUUUUCCGCCUUCGCUCUUUUGGUUAUGCUAUCAAUCCACAUAUGUUCGAAUGCGGUGAAGUUCGCUUAAACCUUAGCCACCAAUGGACCUUACCGAGUGGACAAAUCUGGGUGCCUCUUGAGUUUGAGGACACUUUAAACUACAUAGCAGGCUUAUGAAGUGAAGCAGGAUCAUAUGGCAUAUGUCGGAUCAUUCCACCUUCAUCAUAGAGAAUGGGUCGGUUUGGGUUGACUUGCAUGGGACAGGAUUUCUUUAUACUUGUCAAAAAGAGAAAUUCUUUAUUUUGGCCAAAACGGGUCAAUUUGGGUUAAUUUGCAUGGGCUGGUUCCCAAUACAGGUUAAACGAGUGAUUAUUGUAUUCUUGUCAGAAAGGGUAUUCUUUUUUAUUAAUGGUCAAAACGGUUCAGUUUCGGUUGACCUGAAACACCCGGGUGUAAAGUAAGAUCAAACUAAAGUACGACUAAACUCUCUAAUAUUAUUUCAAUUAUAGUAUGAAUAUUUUUUUUAUAAAUUGGUGUGCAUUAAAAAACGCUUUAGGUGACUUUCGACAUCUGCCACCCAUUUGACCCGUUUCCUUUUUAACCAAGUUUCUCUAUUUUACUUGAUUUACCCAGUGGAUAUAAUAAUAUAAACUGAGUUGACCACUUUGAUUCAUAAUUUUGACCAUUAUUUACUUUGUUUAAUUAUGCAGUACAAGAUGAUGGCCCUUAGAAUUACCAAAUUAGGCACAUCAGAUAUUCAGUUACAAAAUGAGCAUUACCAUAGUUGUAAUCUUCAAGUUAUUAUUGUAACAUUUCUGAAUGAUUAUGGGAUGAUAUUAGGUCUUUACAUACAUUGUUUUUGUAUAAUAGCAGAAAAAGCUCGGUUGCAAGCGGCAGCAGAGGCUGCCGAAAACGCAAGAAGGCGAGCAGAAGCAGAAGCUGCGUUAGAGGCAAAGCGAAAGAGAGACCUCGAGAGGGAAGUAGCUCGUCAGGCGUUAUUGAAGGAUGAUGAACACGAAGAAGACAAUGAUGGUGAGCUCGAACCACCAACUGUUGUUCCAGGUCAUCAGAUAAAUAUGGACGUGGAAGAAGGCAAAAUCGAUUGAGUGUUUUAGAAUAAUUAGUAUCAUCUUUUAUGUAUAGAAUGAUUUCUGGCUAUUAAGCCUGGUCAGGAACUGAAAAAAAUCAAAAAAAGAA